GGUUGACCUCGGAUCAGGUAGGGAUACCCGCUGAACUUAAGCAUAUCAAUAAGCGGAGGAAAAGAAACCAACAGGGAUUGCCUCAGUAACGGCGAGUGAAGCGGCAAGAGCUCAAAUUUGAAAUCUGGCGUCUUUGGCGUCCGAGUUGUAAUUUGCAGAGGAUGCUUCGGAUACAGCCCCUGUCUAAGUGCCCUGGAACGGGCCGUCGGAGAGGGUGAGAAUCCCGUCUGGGACAGGGUGUCUGUGUCUGUGUGAAGCUCCUUCGACGAGUCGAGUUGUUUGGGAAUGCAGCUCUAAAUGGGUGGUAAAUUUCAUCUAAAGCUAAAUAUUGGCCGGAGACCGAUAGCGCACAAGUAGAGUGAUCGAAAGAUGAAAAGCACUUUGGAAAGAGAGUUAAACAGCACGUGAAAUUGUUGAAAGGGAAGCGCUUGCGACCAGACUCGCUUGCAGGGUUCAGCCGGGAUUCGUCCCGGUGUACUUCCCUGCUGGCGGGCCAGCGUCGGUUUGGGCGGCCGGUCAAAGGCCCCUGGAAUGUAGCACCCUCGGGUGUCUUAUAGCCAGGGGUGCAAUGCGGCCUGCCUGGACCGAGGAACGCGCUUCGGCACGGACGCUGGCAUAAUGGUCGUAAGCGACC
rnacentral:rRNA from 1 species